rnacentral:rRNA from 1 species
GAGUUUGAUCAUGGCUCAGAACGAACGCUGGCGGCAGGCUCAACACAUGCAAGUCGAACGGGCGCAGCAAUGCGUCAGUGGCAGACGGGUGAGUAACGCGUGGGAACGUACCCUUCGGUUCGGAACAACUCCGGGAAACUGGAGCUAAUACCGGAUACGUCCGUAAGGAGAAAGAUUUAUCGCCGAAGGAUCGGCCCGCGUCGGAUUAGCUAGUUGGUGGGGUAACGGCCCACCAAGGCGACGAUCCGUAGCUGGUCUGAGAGGAUGAUCAGCCACACUGGGACUGAGACACGGCCCAGACUCCUACGGGAGGCAGCAGUGGGGAAUAUUGGACAAUGGGCGAAAGCCUGAUCCAGCCAUGCCGCGUGAGUGAAGAAGGCCCUAGGGUUGUAAAGCUCUUUCAGCGGGGAAGAUAAUGACGGUACCCGCAGAAGAAGUCCCGGCUAACUUCGUGCCAGCAGCCGCCGUAAC